UGAAGAAUUUUCCGCAAUGGACGAAAGUCUGACGGAGCGACGUCGUGUGAAUGAUGAAGUCUUUCGGGAUGUAAAAUUCUGUCGAGAGGGAAGAUAUUGACGGUACCUCUGGAGGAAGCCCCGGCUAACUACGUGCCAGCAGCCGCGGUAAUACGUAGGGGGCGAGCGUUGUCCGGAAUUAUUGGGCGUAAAGGGCGUGUAGGUUGUUCUGUAAGUUGGAUGUUAAAGGUAUGGGCUCAACUCAUACAUUGCAUUCAAUACUGCAGUUCUAGAGAGUGGUAGAGGAGAACGGAACUUCCGGUGUAGCGGUGAAAUGCGUAGAUAUCGGAAGGAACACCAGUGGCGAAGGCGGUUCUCUGGGCCAUUUCUGACGCUGAGGCGCGAAAGCUAGGGGAGCAAACAGG
rnacentral:rRNA from 1 species